rnacentral:rRNA from 1 species
GACGAACGCUGGCGGCGUGCUUAACACAUGCAAGUCGAACGAGGUCCAUGCAGUAGCAAUACUGCGGAAGACCUAGUGGCGAACGGGUGCGUAACACGUGAGGAACUUGUCCCGGUCUCUGGGAUAACAGUUGGAAACGACUGCUAAUACCGGAUGACGUCGGAGCAUCGCAUGGUGCGCUGACGAAAGGGUUACUGGAUCGGGAGAGCCUCGCGGCCUAUCAGCUUGUUGGUGGGUAACGGCCUACCAAGGCAUCGACGGGUAGCUGGUCUGAGAGGAUGAUCAGCCACACUGGGACUGAGACACGGCCCAGACUCCUACGGGAGGCAGCAGUGGGGAAUCUUGCGCAAUGGGCGAAAGCCUGACGCAGCAACGCCGCGUGCGGGAAGAAGGCUCUCGGGUUGUAAACCGCUUUCAGCAGGAACGAAAAUGACGGUACUUGCAGAAAAAGGUGCGGCCAACUAACGUGCCAGCAGCCGCGGU